rnacentral:rRNA from 1 species
UGCUAGAUUGAUGGCGAGUGGCGAACGGGUGAGUAAUACAUCGGAACGUGCCCUGUAGUGGGGGAUAACUAGUCGAAAGAUUAGCUAAUACCGCAUACGACCUGAGGGUGAAAGUGGGGGACCGCAAGGCCUCAUGCUAUAGGAGCGGCCGAUGUCUGAUUAGCUAGUUGGUGGGGUAAAGGCCCACCAAGGCGACGAUCAGUAGCUGGUCUGAGAGGACGAUCAGCCACACUGGGACUGAGACACGGCCCAGACUCCUACGGGAGGCAGCAGUGGGGAAUUUUGGACAAUGGGCGAAAGCCUGAUCCAGCAAUGCCGCGUGUGUGAAGAAGGCCUUCGGGUUGUAAAGCACUUUUGUCCGGAAAGAAAUGGCUCUGGUUAAUACCUGGGGUCGAUGAUGGUACCGGAAGAAUAAGGACCGGCUAACUACGUGCCAGCAGCCGCGGUAAUACGUAGGGUCCAAGCGUUAAUCGGAAUUACUGGGCGUAAAGCGUGCGCAGGCGGUUGUGCAAGACCGAUGUGAAAUCCCCGAGCUUAACUUGGGAAUUGCAUUGGUGACUGCACGGCUAGAGUGUGUCAGAGGGGGGUAGAAUUCCACGUGUAGCAGUGAAAUGCGUAGAGAUGUGGAGGAAUACCGAUGGCGAAGGCAGCCCCCUGGGAUAACACUGACGCUCAUGCACGAAAGCGUGGGGAGCAAACAGGAUUAGAUACCCUGGUAGUCCACGCCCUAAACGAUGUCAACUAGUUGUUGGGGAUUCAUUUCCUUAGUAACGUAGCUAACGCGUGAAGUUGACUGCCUGGGGAGUACGGUCGCAAGAUUAAAACUCAAAGGAAUUGACGGGGACCCGCACAAGCGGUGGAUGAUGUGGAUUAAUUCGAUGCAACGCGAAAAACCUUACC